UGAGCAAUCUGCCCUUCUCUUCGGAAUAAGCGUUGGAAACGACGUCUAAUGCCGAAUACGACCUCCUUUCGCAUGAUCGGAGGUGGAAAGCUCCGGCGGAGAAGGAUGAGCUCGCGGCCUAUCAGCUAGUUGGUGUGGGUAAUGGCCCACAAGGCGACGACGGGUAGCCGGCCUGAGAGGGUAACCGGCCACACUGGGACUGAGACACGGCCCAGACUCCGUACGGGAGGCAGCAGG
rnacentral:rRNA from 1 species